rnacentral:lncRNA from 1 species
CUGCACCCAUCAGCCCAUCAUCUACAUUAGGUAUUUCUCCUAAUGCUAUUCCUCCCCUAGCCCCCCACCCCCUGACAGGCCCCGGUGUGUGUCAAUGUGUUCUCAUUGUUCAACUCCCAGUUAUGAGUGAGAACAUGUGGUGUUUGGUUUUCUGUUCUUGUAUUAGUUUGCUGAGAAUGAUGGUUUCCAGAUUCAUCCAUGUCCCUGCAAAGGACAUGAACACAUUCUUUUUUAUGGCUGCAUAGUAUUCCAUGGUGUAUAUGUGCCAUAUUUUCUUUAUCCAGUCUAUCAUUGAUGGGCAUUUGGGUUGGUUCCAAGUCUUUGCUGUUGUGAAUAGUGCUGCAAUAAACACGUGUGUGCAUGUAUCUUUAUAGUAGAAUGAUUUAUAAUCCUUUGGAUAGAUACCCAGUAAUGGCAUUGCAGGAUCAAAUAGUAUUUCUAGUUCUAGAUCCUUGAGGAAUCGCCACAUUGUCUUCCACAAUUGUUGAGCUAAUUUACACCCCCACCAACAGUGUAAAAGCGUUCCUAUUUCUCUACACCCUCUCCAGCACCUGUUGUCUCCUGACUUUUUAAUGAUCACCAUUCUAACAGGCAUGAGAUGGUAUCUCAUUGUGGUUUUGAUUUGCAUUUCUCUAAUGACCAGUGAUCAUGAGCUUUUUUUCAUAUGUUUGUUGGCUGCAUAAAUGUCUUCUUUUGAGAAGUGCCUGUUCAUAUCCUUCACCCACUUUUUGAUGGGGUUGUUUUUUUCUUGUAAAUUUUUUAAUGUUCUUUAUAGAUUCUGGGUAUUAGCCCUUUGUCAGAUGGACAGAUUGCAAAAAUUUUCUCCCAUUCUAUAGGUUGCCUCAAACAGAGGAAUCUUUAAAAUGUAUGUCAGAACCUGUCAUUCCUGGACUCUAAAUCUUCUGCUGGUUUCUUAUUUCAGUCAGAGGAAAAUUGCCAAGUUCUUAUAAGAUCCGACCUCUUCUCUGAUUCCGUCCCCUAACUCCACUCCAGGUCUUCCUCACAUUUUCCAAGCACAUCAGGAUCUUUAAAUUUGUACUUGCUGUUCUCUCUCUCUCCAAAAUACUCUUUCCCCAGACAACAAGUGUCUUGCUUCUUUGGCCCCUUUAGAUUUCUGCAUGAAGAUCACUAUCAGGGAGGCCAUUUUUGAUCAUUCUAUAAAAAAGAAAAUCACUCCCCAGUCUCUCUCUGUUUCCCUUAUCUUAGUUAUUUUUCCUUCAAGACAAUAUCACUGCCUGAUAUUGGUCCCCACCCAAAUCUCAUCUUGAACUGUAGCUCCCAUAAUUCCCACAUGUUGUGGGAGGGACCUGGUGGGAAGUAAUUGAAUCAUGGGGGCGGGUCUUUCCCAUGCUGUUCUCAUGAUAGUGAAUAAGUCUCAUGAGAUCUGGUGGUUUUAUAAAGAGGAGGUUCCCUGCACAUGCUCUCUUGCCUGCUGCCAC